CCUCAUUCUUUUUAUUUUUUUUUGAUCUUUUUACUAAAUUGAUUUUUCUUUUUUAUUUCACUCUUUAAUUUUGAGUUGUUUUAAUAUUUCAAAACAUUGAUUUCAUUCUUCAGUUUUUAGUUUUUAAGUCAAUUUUGAUUCUUAUUCUUUUAAUUGCUAUUUUUAUAAUAUUCUUUUAUAUAAUUAUUUUUUUUAAUUUUAUCAUUUAAUAUUUGAUUGAUUGAAAUUAGAUUUCAU
rnacentral:lncRNA from 1 species